rnacentral:tRNA from 1 species
AGGAAAGUAGCUCAGUGGGUAGAGCAACUGAUUACAAAUCAGUCGGUCGAGGGUUCGAGUCCCUCCUUUUCAC